GUCCAAAUUGCUUCAAGGUUACUUGGAAAGCUAUUGCUAUAUGAAAAAUGGCUUAAACACUGAAUUCAGGUCAAUUUUCUAUGAGUUUUGUUUUUCCAGGAGAGAAAAACUGGUCAAGUAGUGAUUUAUCCAAAGAUUUUUGUUCUCUGUUUUACUGUUGUUUUUACCUGAGGGAACAUUUCUUGAGAACCACUCAAAUUUCCACAACUUAGUGGACACCGCUCAUUUUGCGGCAAUCCCGGAAAAGAAAGAGAGUGGUCACAUUUCAGACUGCUACAACACAUCGGUCUUAUUAAAUAUCACUGAUUCCCUCCACUGCUUGGAAGUCAGAGAAGCCAUAUUGCUUGUGGCUGGAAAAAGAAGACUCAUAAGCAAGUGAAAAUGGUUUAAACCGGUUUAUUUGUUUGUACAACUGAUGCACAGACGUUAUGCAUCUCCUGCAAAUAUAAAAAUCCUAGAGCAUGGGUUUUAUCAUCUUUAUGGCUGUGAAGAUAUGCAGUCAUCUUGUGACCAGCUCAGUCUUGUCUUUUGGCAUCAAAGGCAUCAAUACUUCAUCAACUUUGACAGGGGAGACCCGAAGAAUCAGCAUCGUUUCAGGGAUGGUUUUCACAGCCUUACUCUCCAGGAAUAGACAAGGAGUGACGAGAAGCUCAACAAUAGCAACAACAAAAGCCAGUACACAAACGGAGGCUUCAGGUAUAAAAGGCCGAUGAUUUAUGUAAACCCGUCCAACAGCGAACAGUUUUUGGGUUACCAAUCUCUAAUCAUACUUGGUAUGAGCCUACUUUCUUUUUUGCAAUUAAAAAUUGUCUUGUAACAAAAAUGAGGUGUAAGAUAGAAUGUGAAAGAUAAGACUGAUGAGAUAGGCAGGAUACACUAAGAAAACUAAACAUUAAUUUUAGAACAAUGGUGAUCCUUUGGGAUGGAUGUGCAAAGGUGUGUUUUGAGGCGUUUGAGAAGAGAUGCAGGGCGAACACUCACACCAUCCCUCUUGCCCAGUUCAGAAGUAGAACAUUACCCGUUACCUCAGACGACCUCUGAGAGCCCUUCCAGAGUACCAGCUUGCCUUUCCUCCUCAACCAGAAGUAACUGUUGACCUGUACUUAUGUCUGUUGUUACUUGAAUCUGGGCAGGGGCUGCGAAAGCCCCAAUCAACUUAGGAUGUGGAAGUGAUGCCAUGUGACAACUGAUGCUAGGUCACAAAAAGGAUGUGGCUUCUGCUGGCUUUUUCUCUCAUGACACUUGCCCUGGGUGCCCAGUCUCCAUUCGUGAAAAAGCCAGGCACCUCGAGAGGCCAUGUGUAGACAGAUGUUCUCUCAUGGUUGACAGCUUCAGUUAAGCUACCGGCCAAUGCCAGCAGCAAGCACCAGACAUGUGAGUGAAAGAGGUUCCGGCUAACUCCGCUUCCAGCCUUCAGUCUCCCAGCUGAG
rnacentral:lncRNA from 1 species